rnacentral:rRNA from 1 species
UACGUAUGGGGCAAGCGUUAUCCGGAUUUACUGGGUGUAAAGGGAGCGCAGGCGGCCUGCCAAGUCUGGUGUGAAAACCCGGGGCUCAACCCCGGGCCUGCAUUGGAAACUGGCGGGCUGGAGUGUCGGAGGGGCAGGCGGAAUUCCUAGUGUAGCGGUGAAAUGCGUAGAUAUUAGGAGGAACACCGGUGGCGAAGGCGGCCUGCUGGACGAUGACUGACGCUGAGGCUCGAAAGCGUGGGGAGCAAACAGG